rnacentral:misc_RNA from 1 species
GAUGAAGAACGCAGCGAAAUGCGAUAAGUAGUGUGAAUUGCAGAUUUCAGUGAAUCAUCGAAUCUUUGAACGCACAUUGCGCCCCUUGGUAUUCCAUGGGGCAUGCCUGUUCGAGCGUCAUUUGUACCUUCAAGCUUUGCUUGGUGUUGGGUGUUUGUCUCGCCUUUGCGUGUAGACUCGCCUUAAAAUAAUUGGCAGCCGGCGUAUUGAUUUCGGAGCGCAGUACAUCUCGCGCUUUGCACUCAUAACGACAGCGUCCAAAAGUACAUUUUACACUCUUGACCUCGGAUCAGGUAGGGAUACCCGCUGAACUUAAGCAUAUCAAUAAGCGGAGGA